rnacentral:rRNA from 1 species
CGUGGGAACGUACCCUUCACUACGGAAUAGCUUCUGGAAACGGAAGGUAAUACCGUAUACGCCCUCCGGGGGAAAGAUUUAUCGGUGAAGGAUCGGCCCGCGUUAGAUUAGUUUGUUGGUGGGGUAAUGGCCUACCAAGACUACGAUCUAUAGCUGGUCUGAGAGGAUGAUCAGCCACACUGGGACUGAGACACGGCCCAGACUCCUACGGGAGGCAGCAGUGGGGAAUCUUGCACAAUGGGCGAAAGCCUGAUGCAGCCAUGCCGCGUGAAUGAUGAAGGCCUUAGGGUUGUAAAAUUCUUUCGCCAGGGAUGAUAAUGACAGUACCUGGUAAAGAAGCCCCGGCUAACUUCGUGCCAGCAGCCGCGGUAAUACGAAGGGGGCUAGCGUUGUUCGGAAUUACUGGGCGUAAAGCGCGCGUAGGCGGGCUAUUAAGCCAGAUGUGAAAGCCCGGAGCUCAACUCCGGAAUUGCAUUUGGAACUGGUAGCCUAGAGACCAGGAGAGGUUAGCGGAAUACCGAGUGUAGAGGUGAAAUUCGUAGAUAUUCGGUGGAACACCAGUGGCGAAGGCGGCUAACUGGACUGGUACUGACGCUGAGGCGCGAAAGUGUGGGGAGCAAACAGGAUUAGAUACCCUGGUAGUCCACAC